UGUGGAUCCAGCUGUGCAGCUCUGCUGCUCUGCGGUCUCUGGACACAAUCUCUAGGAAAGUCCAACAGGUUCUCCUGCUUGCCUUGGCUGUGAACUCUGCCCAUCUUCAGGGUCUCGUUUCUUCAGCUCCAGGCUAGAUUCCAUGGUCACUCUUGGGGUGACCAUCAGUUUCACACGUCCAGGGGUCACCAAUUCUUGCUUUGACUGCAACCCCUGGUGCGAGGACACGAGGCUUGACUCCACUUUCAUCAGAAGGCUGAUUUAUUAUGAUAUAUAUUAUACUAAAAUGCUACAUUACAACUAUACUAAAAGAAGAGAGAGAGAAAGAUCAGAAGGCUACAAGGACAAGAAUAGAACAGGAAUCAAUAACAAAAAUCCUGUGACUGCUCACAGCCUUGACACAGGUGGCUGUGAUUGGUCACUGAUUGAAAACAAUCCACAUGAACCAAUGGAAGAUUCACCUGUGGCACUCCACAGCAGCAGAUAGUUAUUGUUUACAUUUCUUUCCUGAGGCCCUCAGCUCCUCAGGACAGGAAAAAUCCUAGCAGAGGCUUUUUCACUAAAAAUCCUGGCAACACCACAUUUUGCCCAUCUAUGGUGAUCCAGCAGAAUGUCAAACUCAAGAGCAAUGCCCCAAGAGCAGAGGUGGUGCUGGGGAAGAGGAGGCAGGUCUUCAAAGCAUGUCAGGAUGGGUCCCCAGCUGGACUUGGCUGUUAUUUCAGCCAGAGCUUGGCCAGCUCUGUGUGACUCCAGCAACUGAAAGCUUAAGGACAAUGACUCAUCUUUGGGAUUAUGUUUUGCAAUUCCUCCUUCAUCACAGGGACCAUGCUUAGAAGGUUUGCCUCCUUGCAUGGUACGUCCAUUCCCUCCCUUCUCUUUCUAGCUCCUCAUAUGUUCCUUUGUCCUCCAUUUUCUCCAGGCCAAGACCCAGCACCAGAAGCCAAGAGAAGAGCCCGGAGUAUGCAGAUCUGACUGGCUACCCUUCUGCCACGAAUCUUCCUCAGACACAUCCCGCUUCACUGCUUCUCUUGAAGCCUUUGCCUCCCAUCCAAGAGAGCUCAUCCAUCAAUCUGAGCAAGAUGUAUGAUGGGGAGGAAGGGAAAAGGAAAAGUAGCACUGACAACAAAGAUGUCAGAAGAAACAUCGCGGAGCAGAGUUCAGAGGGAAAAGGACAUAAGACAUCCUUGCCUUCUCCUGUUGGUAAAGAAAUGAAGAAGAGAUCAUUGGGAAAAUCUUUGAUCCCCCGUCGUCACAAGGCAGGAAUUCCCCGUGUGGGCAGUGCUGCUGGGUCUGUGCACAGCUCUCCCCAGAUGGAAUUGCAGGAGUCCCAGGAGAUGAGGCCAAGACCCAGCACCAGAAGCCAAGAGAAGACCCUGGAG